rnacentral:rRNA from 1 species
GAUGAACGCUGGCGGCGUGCCUAAUACAUGCCAGUCGAGCGAACAGACGGGGAGCUUGCUCCUCUGACGUUAGCGGCGGACGGGUGAGUAACACGUGGAUAACCUACCUAUAAGACUGGGAUAACUUCGGGAAACCGGAGCUAAUACCGGAUAAUAUAUUGAACCGCAUGGUUCAAUAGUGAAAGACGGUUUUGCUGUCACUUAUAGAUGGAUCCGCGCCGCAUUAGCUAGUUGGUAAGGUAACGGCUUACCAAGGCAACGAUGCGUAGCCGACCUGAGAGGGUGAUCGGCCACACUGGAACUGAGACACGGUCCAGACUCCUACGGGAGGCAGCAGUAGGGAAUCUUCCGCAAUGGGCGAAAGCUUGACGGAGCAACGCCGCGUGAGUGAUGAAGGUCUUCGGAUCGUAAAACUCUGUUAUUAGGGAAGAACAAAUGUGUAAGUAACUAUGCACGUCUUGACGGUACCUAAUCAGAAAGCCACGGCUAACUACGUG